CGAAGGCUAAUAAGUGAGCUCUAUUUAUUGGUUUUCGUUUUCUUGAUUCCUCGUUUCUAAGUUCAGAGUAAGAUGAGACACUUCUGAAAUAAGAAAAGAGGACCCAAACCCAUAAAGGAGAGAUCAAAACAACGUGUGAGAGGAGAAGAAGAAAUACUUGUGAAGAGAUAGAGAGAGAGAGAGUCAAACACAAAGGAACGACGGGGGUGGACGGAGACGACAAAACGGGCGGCCGAAAUAAACUGUAUAGUGGGACCUUAGCAUUUCUCAUUAAACUUUAAUUUUUCAUUAUAUUAUGUUAAUAAUUAUAUUCCUUCCAUUUUAUACCCUUUUUUUUUUUAAAAAAAUAAUAUUAUUUUAGCUUUUGUACUUCAAUUCAAUUCUAGACAUAUAUUUAAGGUCUAGGAGAAACUUGAAAAAGAGGGCAGGAGGAAUAUAAUAUUUUAAAACAUAAGAAAUAUUACAUUUGCUCUUGUAUUUAAAUAAUGAAAAGUUGUAGUACAAAGCUAAUGCCAAACUACUUUACCCAAGUUGAUGAAUUCACACCAAUAACCCACUUGUUUUUGUAGCUAUUCACAUGUUUUACCUCUUUCCUUGUUUUCUUCUCACCAAAGUUGUGACAAAAUACUCCAACUCACCCAAUUUUUGUACCAAAAUUCGUGUUUAUGGCAUUUUAGGUGAAAUUUUAUAAAGUUCUCUU
rnacentral:lncRNA from 1 species